UCCUCUGAAAGAAAAGAUCAGAGGUUGAGGUAGCUGGGGCAGGUGUGGGCAGGAGAGAAGGCUCAGGAAGGCGGUGCUUGAGGGCGAGGUGUGCAGCGAGACAGCCUCUUCCUGGGCUCGGCAGGCAGCAGCUCCUGCAGGUGGAACUGCCUCUCCCAAAUAUCAAAGCUCAGAACUCCUCCAAGAAAAGAGGGGCAGAGCUUGUCCUCACAUCCUACUGCAGAAACACUGGGAGGACGUAAAAUCUAUCUUCAGGAUGGCAGAGCCCCAGAGGAUCCUGGACAGGACUGCCAUGGUUCUUUCCUUCUCAGGCUAAACGGAAACCAAUUUCAUGAUCCAGACCAGCAUUCUUCCCUAGGAGAGAGCACCAACCACGGAGUCUUCGGAGCUUGUGCAGAGAGGGUUUUACGUCCUUGCUUCACCUUUUGACAACCAGAGGGCAGCCAGUUCUGAACACGGACCCAUAGAGGGGCAUGAAGCUGAUUGUGCAUACACAUGUGUCUUCUUUCAUAAUAUUGAUGACUCCUCCUAUAGCUUGUUUAAUAUGUGUGUUUGGCCAUGUCACUUGGCAUGAAUUUCUGCAUCCCUCUGAGCUCCCAUCUCUGGGUUCUGCCUGGAGCUCUGUUUCCCGGCCUGCCAAGAUAGUAACCCAAGGCUGCAACCCGUUGUGAGAAAUAAAGCUCUCCUUUGCAGAUUUA